UCCUUCAUGUUUGUUGGCUGUUUUGUAGAUUCUAGAUCAUCUAUGACUUUGGUGUUCGUAUAACAAUCUUCAUCUGGUGGGGCAGGAGUUUUUUCCAUUGUUCUAGCUGUGAACUUUUCGUUACGAUUUGCAGGGUUCUCCAUUGCAAUUGAAUUUUUGCUUAGAGUGUCACGUCGUCGUGCACGAUUAGCAGAAUCUUGUUCUAACUUUGCUUUCUUUUGGUUUGGUUGCAUGUUUG
rnacentral:lncRNA from 1 species